AUUGAACGCUGGCGGCAUGCUUUACACAUGCAAGUCGAACGGCAGCGCGGUCUUCGGGCUGGCGGCGAGUGGCGAACGGGUGAGUAAUACAUCGGAACGUGCCCAGUAGGGGGGGAUAACUACGCGAAAGCGCUGGUAAUACCGCCUACGACCUGCGGGGGAAAGCUGGGGGUGGUUGGACCGUGCCCUAUUGGAGGGGCCGAUUCCGGAUUAGCUAGUUGGUGGGGUAAAGGGUGACCAAGGAGGCGAUUGGUAGGUGGUGGGAGUGGACGGGCAGCCACACUGGGACGGAGACACGGACCAGACUACUACGGGAGGCAGCAGUGGGGAAUUGUGGACAAUGGGGGGAAGCCUGAUCCAGCGAUCCCGCGUGUGAGAUGAAGGCCUUCGGGUUGUAAAGCACUUCUGGCGGGAACGAAACGGCUUGGGCUAAUACGACGCGUAAAUGACGGUACCGGCAGAAGAAGCACCGGCUAACUACGUG
rnacentral:rRNA from 1 species